UGUUAAUUUGUCAUCUGAAUUGCAUAUUAAAUUCGGUCCAUCGAUUGUUGAUGUUUAGUAAAAGAUGCUAACGUACGUCACGAUGUUAAACUUUAAAAACAAAAGUUAGUCUGCUAAGUAAUAUAAUUGACUUCAUAUAAAAUAUGGAGGCGUUCGGUUACCUAAUCAUUAAGAGUCAUUUUGAAUAUUAUGUCGCUGUCGGAUUUGUAAUUUUGUAAAAAACAAAUCUGUGUUUUAGCAGAUAUACCAACACUUGCAUCCAUUACUUUUCUGAAAUUCGAUGGUAUGUACGACAUGAACGUUUAACCAGAAUACGAAAAAUAUGAAAGCUAAGAAAAAUAAGUAACGCAAAGCGUAAAGUGUGGGAUUACUUAAUACAAGUAUAAAUA